rfam:Stereum hirsutum FP-91666 SS1 unplaced genomic scaffold STEHIscaffold_27, whole genome shotgun sequence.
GCCCGCCUAGCUCAAUCGGAUAGAGCGUCAGACUCUUACCAAAGUCUCACAGGUGGGUAUGUAUAAUCUGAAGGCUGUGGGUUCGACUCCCACGGUGGGCU